ACUGCUCAGUAACACGUGGAUAACCUGCCCUUGGGUCCGGCAUAACCCCGGGAAACUGGGGAUAAUUCCGGAUAACGCACAUAUGCUGGAAUGCUUUAUGCGUAAAAUGGAUUCGUCUGCCCAAGGAUGGGUCUGCGGCCUAUCAGGUAGUAGUGGGUGUAAUGUACCUACUAGCCAACAACGGGUACGGGUUGUGAGAGCAAGAGCCCGGAGAUGGAUUCUGAGACAUGAAUCCAGGCCCUACGGGGCGCAGCAGGCGCGAAAACUUUACAAUGCGGGAAACCGUGAUAAGGGGACACCGAGUGCCAGCAUCAUAUGCUGGCUGUCCAGGUGUGUAAAAUACACCUGUCAGCAAGGGCCGGGCAAGACCGGUGCCAGCCGCCGCGGUAACACCGGCGGCCCGAGUGGUGAUCGUGAUUAUUGGGUCUAAAGGGUCCGUAGCCGGUUUGGUCAGUCCUCCGGGAAAUCUGACGGCUCAACCGUUAGGCUUUCGGGGGAUACUGCCAGGCUUGGAACCGGGAGAGGUAAGAGGUACUACAGGGGUAGGAGUGAAAUCUUGUAAUCCCUGUGAGACCACCUGUGGCGAAGGCGUCUUACCAGAACGGGUUCGACGGUGAGGGACGAAAGCUGGGGGCACGAACCGGAUUAGAUACCCGGGUAGUCCCAGCCGUAAACGAUGCUCGCUAGGUGUCAGGCAUGGCGCGACCGUGUCUGGUGCCGCAGGGAAGCCGUGAAGCGAGCCACCUGGGAAGUACGGCCGCAAGGCUGAAACUUAAAGGAAUUGGCGGGGGAGCAC
rnacentral:rRNA from 2 species